CAACAUCACGUGCUUUUGUUUACGUAAUUUUUCUUUUGCUAGUAACUGUCACGUCAAUUCGGGUUAAUUACGUGUAUAUACUAGCAGUGCUGAUAAGGGAGAACGAUUCAUAUCGUAGAGGAAGUAGAUGUGACCUGUAUUUGCUGUUCCAUUACAACUGGAAAAAGACAAGAUUUAGGUUCAGCAGUACUCAUGUGUGAAGCCAUUCACCUACUGUACCCACACAUUAGGUCGUAGAAGUUCGAAGAGAUAAAGCCCACAGUUGGCAGAGACAGAAGUCUACUUAGGACCAUGGCAUCCUCACGACGUGGAGACAGGAGCCACAUCAAAUAUGACGUCCUCCGCCAAGGUUUGUCAUCGACGUUGUACUUGACUAACGCUGCUUUGACUAACAUCUGAGAAUAUAUACAGCUUUCUGUUGUGCAUUUUGUUCUCUUAACAAGAUUUCUAUGACAUCCUGCAUGUAAUAUUGGCCAUGUUGCUUAGUAACUUAGAAAUAAGGCCAUGUUGCUUAGUAACUAGAAAUAAGGCCAUGUUGCUUUAAGUAACUUAGAAAUAAGGCCACAUUGCUUAGAAACUAGAAAUAAGGCUAUGUUGCUUUGUAACUAGAAAUAAGGCCAUGUUGCUUUGAAACUAGAAAUAAGGCCAUGUUACUUAGUAACUAGAAAUAAGGCCAUGUUGCUUUGUAACUAGAAAUAAGGCCAUGUUGCUUAGAAACUAGAAAUAAGGCCAUGUUACUUAGUAACUAGAAAUAAGGCCAUGUUGCUUAGAAACUAGAAAUAAGGCCAUGUUGCUUAGAAACUAGAAAUAAGGCCACAUUGCUUUGUAAUUUAGAAAUAAGGCCAUGUUGCUUUGUAACUAGAAAUAAGGCCAUGUUGCUUUGUAACUAGAAAUAAGGCCAUGUUGCUUUGUAACUAGAAAUAAGGCCAUGUUGAUUUGUAACUAGAAAGAAGGCCAUUGCUUAGAAACUAGAUAUAAGGCCAUUGCUUAGUAACUAGAAAUAAGGCCAUGUUGAUUUGUAACUAGAAAUAAGGCAAUUGCUUAGUAACUAGAAAUAAAGUCUGUUUCAUCUCUU